GUGUUUAAUUAUUUCUGACGUAUUUUUGUCCUCCCUUCUCUAAAGUAACUAUGCAUUCCUCUCCUUGCCCCAAUAAUCCACCUUAUUCCUAUCAUAACCUUAUUGUCUUGAUUUGCUCUUUGAUUUUCCAGCUAAUAAUGUUGUAAUGAUUAUGAUCAUUUGAGUUUCUUUGAUUAUUACAUUGCUUUGAAUUAUUGCUUAUCUUCUCUCCAUCAAGUAUUUUAAAGGGAUUUGACAAGGGAAGAAAGAAGAAGACCAGUGCUGACCAAGAGAAGAAGAAGAGUCCAUUGCCAAGCUUUGUCCAGCAGCCAAUAUCUGAUAAUGGAGCAGAAGAUGAGACUGACCUCAACUUGUUAACAAGACUGGAGAUGAAGGGCUAACUACUGUCUAACCUGAAAUCUUUGGUAGGGGUUUAUGCUGGCAUUGAUCCUGUUUCCAAAAGCAGCUCGCCAUGUUUCUGUGAGAGUCCAGAG